GAUGAACGCUAGCUACAGGCUUAACACAUGCAAGUCGAGGGACCGGCGCACGGGUGAGUAACACGUAUCCAACCUGCCCUUUACUCGGGGAUAGCCUUUCGAAAGAAAGAUUAAUACCCGAUGUAAAGGAUGGGGAUGCGUUCCAUUAGGUUGUUGGUGAGGUAACGGCACACCAGGCCUUCGAUGGAUAGGGGUUCUGAGAGGAAGGGCCCCCACAUUGGAACUGAGACACGGUCAAAACACCUACGGGAGGCAGCAGUGAUGAGUAUUGGUCAAUGGGCGUGAGCCUGAACCAGCCAAGUAGUGUGAAGGAUGAAGGCUUAUGGGUCGUAAACUUCUUUUAUAUAAGAAUAUGUAUUAUAUGAAUAAGGAGCGGCUAACUCCGUGCCAGCCGCCGCGGUAAUAC
rnacentral:rRNA from 1 species